AUCCGUAAGUGAAUUUUUGGAGCCAAAUACAAAGACCUAAAUGAAAUCCCUAAAUCCUUUGCUUGUAAAAUCAAAAUCAAAAUCACUCUGAAAUCUGAACUUCCCUCCAACUUCUUCUCGGUCGUUCACUGUCGCCGGCAUCCAUCGUCCGGCGCCAUCAACGGUUCGCCGCCAUCCACCGUCGACAAGUGCGCCCUUUCUCGGCAUCACUGUCCACGUGCUCACUGAAAUCUGAACUUGCGUCCAACGGAACGCUCGUUCACUGCCGCAGGCAUCCAACGUCCGCCGCCAUCAAAGGUUCGCCGCCAUCUAUUUCAAAUUUCCCACUCCACUGGUAGGUUGCAUAUUUCUUUUGAAAUCUAGGAACUACUUGCAUGAUUGAA
rnacentral:lncRNA from 1 species